GGAGAGGUGGCAGAGCGGUUGAUUGCACCAGUCUUGAAAACUGGCAAACCUUCACGGGUUUCGGGGGUUCAAAUCCCCCUCUCUCCUCCA
rnacentral:tRNA from 1 species